GACGAAGGUGGCAAGCGUUAUUCGGAUUUACUGGGCAUAAAGCGCGCGUAGGCGGCUUGGCAAGUCGGGGGGUGAAAGCCCGCAGCUCAACUGCGGAACUGCCUUCGAUACUGGCGAUCUCGAGUUCGGGAGAGGUGAGUGGAACUGCGAGUGUAGAGGUGAAAUUCGUAGAUAUUCGCAAGAACACCAGUGGCGAAGGCGGCUCACUGGCCCGAUACUGACGCUGAGGCACGAAAGCGUGGGGAGCAAACAGGG
rnacentral:rRNA from 1 species